GCACUACUGAAGAGUCCCACAAAAGGACGAAACGGCCAUCCAGUAC
rnacentral:hammerhead_ribozyme from 1 species